GAUGAACGCUGGCGGUAUGCUUAACACAUGCAAGUCGAACGGACUCUUCGGAGUUAGUGGCGGACGGGUGAGUAACGCGUGAGAAUCUGGCUUUGGGUUCGGGACAACCACUGGAAACGGUGGCUAAUACCGGAUGUGCCGAGAGGUAAAAGAGAAAUUGCCUGGAGAUGAGCUCGCGUCUGAUUAGCUAGUUGGUGAGGUAAAGGCUCACCAAGGCAGCGAUCAGUAGCUGGUCUGAGAGGAUGACCAGCCACACUGGGACUGAGACACGGCCCAGACUCCUACGGGAGGCAGCAGUGGGGAAUUUUCCGCAAUGGGCGAAAGCCUGACGGAGCAAUACCGCGUGAGGGAAGAAGGCUCUUGGGUUGUAAACCUCUUUUCUUAGGGAAGAACAAAAUGACGGUACCUAAGGAAUCAGCAUCGGCUAACUCCGUG
rnacentral:rRNA from 1 species